AGACCAUGAUGAAGGCAACUUCUUAGUAAGUCCUUAUAUCUCUCCCAAGCCUCGUACAAUGAAUCAGAAUCAAACUAUGUGAAUGAUGUAAUAUCAUUUCUCAUUUU
rfam:Theobroma cacao cultivar Matina 1-6 chromosome 10, whole genome shotgun sequence.